GAGGAGUAGGAAGGAUCGGACCAAUACGCAGCGUGGCUUUGAAGGGAGUUUUGACUGGAUUUACUAGAAAUGUGAAAUUGACCUGGCAAGCCUGUCUCUGCCUGAGCAUGAUCACAACAAAAGUAGCUGUGCAGCACGUUUUUUAAAGGAAGAGGAGGAUGGUUGCAGACGUUCGCAUUCAUGCAAGAAGUUGACCAAAGCUAUGCUUGGAUACAAGACUGAUGACUCAAUAUCUAGUAUUGACAAUAGUGAAGAUGGUUAUGUCCCAGGGCCAUCAGGAUCAUCAGAGGAAGGCAGUGUCUAUGAAGAAAAUCUGACUGGAGAGAUGUCAGCGAUUCGGGCCAAUGACCAAGGGAAAGCUGGGACAAAAGAGAGUUGACAAAGGAACUAAAAGGUAUUGGUCGACAAUAGAGGUGGAUGCAGUUGAAGAUUCCUUGAUGAACUUUAUCCGAAUGGGGAAAAAUACUUGGAAAACAAAACUGUGAGAAAUGCAUUUCUGCUUCUCCCCAAGCGCUAGUAAACAGGGACUGCAGAGCAGUACAGUUCUAUGUACACAAGAUGAGAGAAAAUAAGUGUAUGAGAUGCUUCUGGCUAUCUUGGUGUACUUCUGAGGAUUUAAUGGGACUUACUUGACUUAAGCUCAUAGGCAGAUGACGAAUGUCCUCUUUCUCAAUGUUCAGGGGAAGCUUUUCCAGGUGGAUGGUUCACUUUUGGAGUGACUAAGGUCUCAAGAAUACAAAGCCUGCUGACUUUGAAUGUUACAGAAAAAUUAAGAAAAUUCUAAACUAUUAAUAUGUUACUUGGAUAUAUUGAAUCCAUUACUAAAUUGGUUGUUCCAGUUUAAAUACUUUAAUGAAGA